rnacentral:lncRNA from 1 species
AUUGUGAAUUUUGUGGGUGGGUGUGCAUGGAUUUUGAAUUGUGAAUGAUAGUCAUUGGGUCUUAAAACACGUUUCAUUGUGGUGAAUAGCUCCCUUGGCCUCUCAAUUACUCCAAGGGUUUCAAGAGCCUCAGAUUUCCCUCCAUCAGUCAUUCAAUUGUUUUAUUUCCAAUGUGAUUUUUUUUGUGGUUGUAUCUUUUGUUGUUAGCUUUCCAAAAAGAUAAGGCUCGCUCCAUUUGGAGUUGAACUGAAUUUUUGGUGAAAUUUUGAGUUUAAGGGGGUCGACUGCCUUUGCAGUUUGGAUUAAUCCAGUUU